AACAAUUUAAAUAGCUAGAGAGAAUUUGUCAAUAAGCCAAAACAGGACGAUUAGAACACAGAAAUAAGCGUGCUUUUCGUCGAACUUUAAAACUUGAUUUGUUCUUAGAUUUUGGAGGACUGUUGGGAAUUUAUAAAAUCAACGUAGAGCAUUCAAGAGCAGGUUAUGAUUAUAUUAUGUGAGCAAUGAGCAAACAAACAAUUGUUUUCACUAGAGAAUAUCAUGCAGUGGAGAACAUCCAAGUUAGAGGAUCAGUAUUCGUCAGAAAUGAUUGACACCACAUAAACAUUCGUAGCAAAAAGGAUGUGCUGCACCCAAGUGUUAAAAAUGAUCUGAUUCAUUCAACUCGUCGUUGACCGUCUCAGUUAGGAAUAUCUAGAAAACUGUUCUUAAUCCAUUUUUCGUCAGCCGAAGAUGUAUUCUUGUAGAAUCCAAGAGCUGCUGCCACAAAGUCCUCAGCAGUAUUACAGAAAGCGAAGCUACAAGAGGAAGAAAUGUCGGCUGCGAGUAAACUGAAAUAAGAGGGCUCUAUUUCAGGUUCAGGUUAAUAGGUUCAGAAACAUUAGCAAAAACCUUUUGCACCAAUUUCAAGAGCAAAAGACAGACUAUGUGUAAUUGUCCUCGGAAUCUGUAAAGUUUCAUUCAAAAUCUGCGUUAAUCUAAGUCCCUUCUGUUUUAUUUUAAGAAUGCCGUUUUUUAUUUUCAACAGUCCCCCAAAAAAUUCCCUAUAUUUUAUUUGUUAAAUUAAUUGCAUAAAGAAAAAAUAUCAUUUUACAAAUUUUGGAUACGUAUGUUAAUCUCAGAUUUGCGUAUGCGCAGGUUAUUUUAAAAAAGCUUCCCAUAUUUCUUCUUAAACCGUUGCUAGAACUAUCGCAUGUUGCAUAAAUAAUUAUGUUAGGACAGAAUGGUUCAUAUGUACGUAAUAAAAAGAGGAAAAAUUAACUUUUAAAAAUAGGAAACUUGAACUCUCUCUAAAAAAGAUUUGUAGUUAUCUUUAUUUCGAGAAGGAAACGGGAGCUUCACAAAAACUGUCGCCGGGAUCGAAACUCUGGACCUUUUAACUGCCAGCCGCACAUGCUUUCCAAUUAUAUUAUAAGCGGCGGAACCUCACAGUGUAAAGACUUUAUUUUUAUUCUAACCAAUUAUUUUUAGUUUUACUUUCUUUUCUGAUUUCAGUUUCCUACCGGAAUGUAAAUUUUAAAAGACGUAGUAUGCUAUUCUAAAACAUGUUUGUUUCAGAAGAAGUAUUUAAGCUGCGUUUCAAGAGUUCGAAAAGAGAGUAGCGGAGUUAGUUUCGAGUUUAUGUUGCGUGUUUGAAUUUAUCUCUCUAGUCGGUGUUGACACCUUUCAGUUUAUACUGAUAUUUCUAGGCUCGGCUUUGCUGUGUGAAGCUGAUUUAGCAUUCGGUUAAGCUAAGGAGCCAGUCGCUAGCCAUCUUAAUUUAAUGUGCAUUUGACAUUUUUAUUAUCUGUUAAUUUAGUUAGCCACAAGUGAUGGUGAAUUGCGAGCACUAAGUGCGCGAAUUUGUUUUAAUUCAGUUUAAAUAAAAAGGUUAUUUAAAGGUUAUUCUUUAGCAGUAUUUAUUCUUCAGGACAUAGCGAGCACUCGCUACUUCGACUUCCACGUAGAGUCCACGUUGUAUGCUUCCAAAAAGAAUACACCGACUCUAUCACAAUAUCCUUCAUUUAAAGGGCGACUAGUAAGGAGGGAACUCAGUCGCCAAAUACUUCCGGUGACGAAUUAUUGGCCAAACCCGUUUAAUUCGGGCGCCACAGUUUAUGGUCAUCACGUUUACUUCGAUGCAGGAAACUUUAGAGAUGACCUCUCUAGGAUUCAAACUCUGGAUUUUCCGACUGGCAGCAAGAUAUACUUUCCAAUUACACCACGAAGAUAUAUGGUAAAAAAGAAGUCUUACAGAUUUAAUAUCUUCAGAUUUUUUAAGUCAAAUUUUUAUAUUGGUUAAAAUAAUCUUUAAACACAAUUUAUAUACACUAGAAACUACAAGAAUCAAUUAGCAUCAGCAGUUCAAACAAUGAAGCCACUCUCAAUAUUUUUGAAAGAUGUGUAUAUCACAAUAAUGAUAUCCCACUUGCAGUAUAUAAAUUACUAAUUACCAUUGUUCAAAGUUAAUGAAAAAUAGUUAAAAACACAGUGCAUUUAAUUUCUUUAAUAUUUCUUGGAACUAAAUAUUCAUGUAGAUUAUAAUAACAAAAUAAGGAAAGUACUGCUAAUCUGGUUCAUAAUUGAAUUUUGUACAGUGUUUUAACCUACUUGUCUAUCAUGAAAACAAAUUUCAAGGAGCAAAGGACUAUUCUAGAGAUAUUUUGAUUUAUAUCUUUCAUGCUCCUCUCACACGUCAGGAAGAAUGACGGAAAAUGGAUUGUCAUUUUUGUAAAAAUAUUUGUUUCAUGAAUGUCAUUAGUACUAAGCCUAAAAUUGAGAAUAUCUUAUUUACAGUAAUAAAUGAACAGCAUGUUAAUAAGAAACUAUCACAUUAAUUAACGUCUUAAUCUUUGAAUUCCAACACAGCGUUCUUACUGAAAACUUAAUUAUUUAAAAGCUGUGGAGGAUACAGAUUUUUUUCUCGUGUUCCGCUAUUAAUUUAUUUUAAUAUAUUUGUUUCUCUCUGUAACAGAUGACAUGUUUCUCAAUAUUUCAUGCUGUAAUUCCCUUCUUUCUUUUGCAAUAAAGUGUGCGAAAUUUUUUUCUAUUCCAUUUAUAAAAUCUUUUCUUUAGUUCUAAAAUGUCUUACGUAACAGAUAAACUUCUUAAGUAAUUACAGCAUGACUGUUAACUGUAAUGUUUUGUUUAUUGGUUAUAACAAGAAGAUUCUGAAAUUUCUCUAAAAAAAUAAUAAAGUCGGAUUGGUAAGAAAGUAAAUUCUGUUUUUAGUGUGAAAUAAAACAAAAUUUUUCUAUACAAAAAAAGAAAUUUAAUCAGUCAAAUAUCUUCCGUGCUGUUUGAAAGCCUUUUUCCAUCUUUCUAGUAACUUCAUGAUUCCGCGCUCAUAGAACUUCUGGUCUUUAUCAGCAUCAAAAACACAAACAGGUGCGAUAUGAGGUCAUUGUUAUUACUGAAAUUUUUACCGUUUAAAAUGUUUUGUAAACUUCGAAAUACAUGAUAAUCCGAUGAUGCAAUGUCGGGGCUAUAUGAGGGAUGCGACAUCACUUCGUGGUCAAACUCCAAUAAUUUCGUACAUUUUGCUAAAGAAGUGUGAGGCUUCCCAUUGUCGUGGUGGAACACGAUUUCUUUCAGAUUUGCCAAUUCUGGCCUCUUCUCUCUCUCCUCCGAUUUCAUAAGUUUGUGGCCCAGUGGUAAUUCGUUACAAAAAGGGUCGAUUUCUUUCCGUUUGAAAUACGUAUCGCAAAUAUUGAUUUCGUCACGUUAAGUGAAUGUCUUUCAAUUCACGCGGGACUCAAAUAAUGAGCUUUUUAACGAGACCAAGACAUCUUAUGUGAUUUUCAAUUGUUGUGUGCAAUAUAUUAAACAUUUUUGAAAUCUCUCACACAGUUAUAUGAAGAUUCGCGUCAAUUAUGGCUUUAAUUUUGUCAUCACGAACUUCAGAAGGUCGGCCAGAACAUUGGUUACCUUCAAGUGAAAUAUCUCCAGAAUGAAAUUUUUUUAACCAGUUCUGACACAGGCAACCUGUUAAGCAAUCAACAGCAUAAACUUCAUGUAUCUCUUUGUGAGUUUCAGCCGCAUUCUUGUUUCUCAGAAAAUAAAAAAGUAAAAUCUUUCGAAAAUGUUUAUAUUUGCACCCCAUGUUAAAACUGUCCGGAAAUUAACAGUUUUAAACAUAAAUACACGGAAUGGGUUUCUAUAAAAACAUAAAAGUAUCAGCUACCAAAUCUCAAAAGAAAAAAGUUAUAAGAUUAACAAAGCGAACAAACUCUGUCUAUAUGUACAAAUCGAAAUUACAUUCUUGCCAAUCCAAUACUUUUUCUGUUAGAAUUAUUCUCUUAGUUCUUCGACUAAUAAGUUAUUGUUAUUUCGAAAUGUUCCACGUGUAAGUUUUAGCUGUUCAUUAUAAUUUCAAUACAGAUUUAUUAUUUAUUUAAAAAAGCCUGGUUUUCGGCACAUAGGACGUUAGCCGUCUUGCUGGGCUACAGAAAUAAAAUUAUUAAGUGCAGGCA